UUUAUGGAGAGUUUGAUCCUGGCUCAGGAUGAACGCUGGCGGCGUGCCUAAUACAUGCAAGUCGAGCGAACGGACGAGAAGCUUGCUUCUCUGAUGUUAGCGGCGGACGGGUGAGUAACACGUGGAUAACCUACCUAUAAGACUGGGAUAACUUCGGGAAACCGGAGCUAAUACCGGAUAAUAUUUUGAACCGCAUGGUUCAAAAGUGAAAGACGGUCUUGCUGUCACUUAUAGAUGGAUCCGCGCUGCAUUAGCUAGUUGGUAAGGUAACGGCUUACCAAGGCAACGAUGCAUAGCCGACCUGAGAGGGUGAUCGGCCACACUGGAACUGAGACACGGUCCAGACUCCUACGGGAGGCAGCAGUAGGGAAUCUUCCGCAAUGGGCGAAAGCCUGACGGAGCAACGCCGCGUGAGUGAUGAAGGUCUUCGGAUCGUAAAACUCUGUUAUUAGGGAAGAACAUAUGUGUAAGUAACUGUGCACAUCUUGACGGUACCUAAUCAGAAAGCCACGGCUAACUACGUGCCAGCAGCCGCGGUAAUACGUAGGUGGCAAGCGUUAUCCGGAAUUAUUGGGCGUAAAGCGCGCGUAGGCGGUUUUUUAAGUCUGAUGUGAAAGCCCACGGCUCAACCGUGGAGGGUCAUUGGAAACUGGAAAACUUGAGUGCAGAAGAGGAAAGUGGAAUUCCAUGUGUAGCGGUGAAAUGCGCAGAGAUAUGGAGGAACACCAGUGGCGAAGGCGACUUUCUGGUCUGUAACUGACGCUGAUGUGCGAAAGCGUGGGGAUCAAACAGGAUUAGAUACCCUGGUAGUCCACGCCGUAAACGAUGAGUGCUAAGUGUUAGGGGGUUUCCGCCCCUUAGUGCUGCAGCUAACGCAUUAAGCACUCCGCCUGGGGAGUACGACCGCAAGGUUGAAACUCAAAGGAAUUGACGGGGACCCGCACAAGCGGUGGAGCAUGUGGUUUAAUUCGAAGCAACGCGAAGAACCUUACCAAAUCUUGACAUCCUUUGACAACUCUAGAGAUAGAGCUUUCCCCUUCGGGGGACAAAGUGACAGGUGGUGCAUGGUUGUCGUCAGCUCGUGUCGUGAGAUGUUGGGUUAAGUCCCGCAACGAGCGCAACCCUUAAGCUUAGUUGCCAUCAUUAAGUUGGGCACUCUAAGUUGACUGCCGGUGACAAACCGGAGGAAGGUGGGGAUGACGUCAAAUCAUCAUGCCCCUUAUGAUUUGGGCUACACACGUGCUACAAUGGACAAUACAAAGGGCAGCGAAACCGCGAGGUCAAGCAAAUCCCAUAAAGUUGUUCUCAGUUCGGAUUGUAGUCU
rnacentral:rRNA from 1 species